ACCUCGAGGAUGAAGGGCAGCACCGGGAUGAAGGUGCCCGUGCUCUCCGAGAGCAGUGUCAGGGCACGCACACAGUGCAUGCGCAGCGGGUAGAAGCGGGCGGUGGGGACCAGCCUGGGAACGUGGGAGGUGGGAAGAGGGUCCUGUAGGGGAAGAG